rnacentral:snRNA from 1 species
AUAUUUACCUAGACGGGGUCAAUGGGUGAUCAUGAAGGCCUAUGACCUAGGUUGAAGGACCUCCCAUUGCACUUUUGGGAUGGGGGUUCACCUAAGAUAUCCCCACAAUUGGGAGAGUCUACGUCAUAAUUUGUUGUGGGGCUGCGAAAGUAGCGGCCCCUG